AUGGAUGGAUCGAGGAGAAAUAAAGAGAACCUUGACUGGGGCACCAUUCUGUUCCAAAGAAUGGCAAGAAAGGAUGAAGAAUUGGCUGGAGGUAAAAAUCUCAUUGAAAAUCUUUGUCAGUGGGUGAGUUCUCUUUUCUUACUUCUAGGAUAUCUGUAUCCUCUUAGGAUACAGAAAACAAAAUUACCUAAAUUUCAUAAAACUUUCCUGAUCACACUUAGGAGUUUAGUAGGAAAAAGGAAAGAAAGGGCUGAAAAACUACAUUCUCUUCAUAUAUACCUUUCUUACUUCUUUCUUAGGUUACCAGCUAUUCUUACUUCUUACACAGGUUACCAGCUAUUCCUUACCAUUAUUUCUAUAGAAGUUCUAUAGAUCAAAUACAGGGUUCUAACUUAUGGUUCUGCUAUUUAUUUAUCUGUGUGACUUGGGAAAGUUUUGAAAUAUAUUCUAGUUUUGCCUUUGCAAAAUGCAGAUAAUAUGCACUUCAUAAGGUUGUCGUGAGGACUAAACAAGAUAUCAUGGAAAAUAUCUGGUUCAGAGUCUGGGGCAGAGAAUGCCCGCAGUAAUAUCCUGAUGUUUUUUAUUCAAUGAUAAGAGCUCAUAAGCAAGGAAAUAGGAUAUGCCAAAAAGAAUACCUCCUUCAUUGAAGGCUUUUAUCCAUGACAUCUGUUAUAUGACUCUAUAAUCUUAAAAUUAGCACAGCAUAGAAUUCUGCAGGACAUUUUGACAAAUGAAAAUAAUUAGAAAUUUUAUUUUUAGUUCAAAUAAUGGUCCCUGAGCAUAUGAAAGUCUCCCUGAUUCAUUGGUAGUGGGUUUUUAAACUCCAUUGUAUCUAUGGCUGUGAACCUACUGUACACAUCCUCUGGGCAUUCUUAACAGGUUUUAACUUGAUGAUAAUUAAUAAAUUGAUAAUUGGUGCUAAGAGAAUUUAAUGUGUCAUGAAAGGAGAAACAGAACAAGUAAGAAAUAUGUAUUUCUAUAAGUGACAUGCUGCUAGAACAAAAGAAAAGCUUGAAGGCUGACUUGACCUUGGCUAACACACUAGAACAUUAGAUAGAUUACCCCCACCCCCUCAAGAGGACCCUUCAUUUAAACACCGAUGGUUGAUGCUAUGAAAGUUAUGCUUUAUUAUACAGUGAUCUGACAGAAACUCUUGAAUUAUUAAUAAUUAGUGUUUAAAUGUGAAAUUCACACAGAAUUAUAUCUGCAGCCUUUAAAGGAAAAGUGAUGCACAUAUUACCUUUGAAAAACUUGUAGUAGAAAGUCAUAUUCAAUAUUCCAGUAAUUACUCUCCUUUAGUAAGAAAGAUCUCUGUGUACACUGUCUUCAUCAUUCUCAAUAAGUUACCUAAUGUUCAACACAGUUGUACUCACCCAAUAAUAAAAGUUAAGAAUCCAUACAAUGCUUUUUAAAGGGCUCCUGCAAGUUGUUUUUUUUGUUAAAUCUAUUAUUAUUAUUUAAUGUCCAGAAAUUGGAAAUGUUUACUUAUCAGAGAUUAUAGGUUGUUAUGUGCUUCAGACUAGAGUCAUGGCCUCAGAAUAGGGCUGUCCAGUGAGAAUAGCGCCUCUGGCAUCAUUACUUCCCUUGAAAAAUGGAGAAAGAAGUAAGAAAGGUAUAUGUGAAGAGAAUAUUAUUUUUCAGCCUUUUCUUUCCUUUUUUUUUCCUAGUAAGUUCCUAAGUGUGAUCAGGAAAGUUUUGCUAAAUUUAGCUAAUUUUUGUUUUCUGUAUCCUAAGAGGAUGAAGAGUUGGCUGGAGGUAAAAAUCUCAUUGAAAAUCUUUGUCAGUGGGUGAUUUCUCUUUCUAUUUCUAUGAUUUCUAAUGUACACAGAUUACUAGCUGUGUCUACUGUCUCACCUACUGACUGAUCAUGUGAAAGGUUUGAGGUCCACACUGUCUACUCAGUAUCUCAAAGCAGGUGUCUCAAAGAAAACUUAAAUUGCCAUGUCUAAAACAGAAUUGAGCUCAUUGUUUGUACCUCCCACCCCUAUGUGUUCUCCUUUUGUGUUUCCCAACUCAGCAAAUGGCACCACUAAUUGCUCAGGUGACUAAGCCAGGAACUGGAGGAUUAUUCUUGCUCUGAAUGUAUCCUUGUACUUCAAGUCCCACUAUCACAACUGACUAUUUUACUUCUUAAUAUCUUUCAAAUUGAUCUGUUUCUCUUCAUCUUAACUGCCAUUGCUUUAAACAAGUCAUCAGCAUCUCUCACUUGGAUGACUUCAGUAGCCAUUUAAUUGGUGUCUGUAUUUCCCUUCUCCCUUUCCAAUCGAUUCUCUGUCACGCUAGUGAUAGUUUAAAACCAAAUUGGAUCAACAGACCUAGUUAAAAUCAUUGCUGUUGGGAUAAAGCCUGUUUGAACUGGCCCCGUCUUAUUCCUCCGGGUUGAUCUGUCAUCUCCUCUUCAUUGGCCACAUAUGUCUUCUUAGAAUUCUUCAGCUGUAAUGUGCUCUGUCUCACAACACAGCUCACUUCAGUUCACUCCUAUUCAUCUUUCAGACCUCAGAGCAAAAGUUACCCUGGGAAGCUUUCGUAGACACUUCAGGCUCAGUGAAAUACUCAUUCUGUGCUUUUAUUGCACUGGGUUCCUUUUACUUCAACAUUUAUCACACAUAUACAUUGUGUGAUCAUUUGUUUGAUAUCUGUGCAGGAACCCUGUCUAUUAGGCUCACCAUUGUAGCCUGGUGUCUGUCAUAUUGUAGCUUCCCUCUCCCCUUGUUAAUAUUCAUUCCCUAGUUUCAUUUUAUGGCUCUUUUCUAUGUUUCAUCUUCAGGGUUGGGUUGGGAAGGAAGUCAGAGUCUAUUAUAAUUAGCCAUCUUGUCAGGAACAGAGAACUCCCUAUUUCCAUUUCCUGUAAUUUUCAUAGUUAAAAUUGUAAUGACUUCAGUAUGUUGCACCAUGAUGGUUAAUAUUAGGUGUCAGCUUGACUGGAUUGAGGGAUGCCCAGAUGCCUGAUACAGGAUUGUUUCCGGGUGUAUCUGUAAGAGUGUUCCCAGAGGAGAGUGACAUGUGAGUCAGUGGACUGGGAGAGGAAGACCUACCCUCAUGGUGGGUGGACACCAUCCAAUCGUCUGCCAGUGCAGCUAGAACAAAGUAGGCAGAAGAAGGUGGCUAAGUUUGCUUGCUGAGUCUUCCGGCUCUUUGUAUUCUUCCUGUGCCAGACACUUGCUUCCGCUUCUCUUGCCCUUGUACAUCAGCCUCCAGGUUCUUUGUGCUUCGGACCCUGGGACUUUCACCAGCAGCUUCCCAGGGGCUCGUGGGCCUUCAGCUGCAGACUGAAGGCUGCAUUGUUAGCUUUGCUGUUUUUUAGGCUUUUGGACUUAGAGUGAGCCACUACUGGCUUCUCUUGUCCCCAGCUUGCAGAUGGCCUUUUGUUGGACUUUGCCUUAUAAUUAUGUGAGGCAGUUCUCCCUAAUAAACUCGCUUUUAUUUAUACAUAUAUCCUAUUGGUUCUGUCCCUCUGGAGCACCUUAGUACAUCCACCUUAUUAAUGUGCUACAAUGUGAGAUAUUUCCUAAGGCAGGGAAAAUGAAACAGUAGUAUUUAGGAUCAUAUACACGUUUUAAAAAUAUAAAAAGCAAUGAGAUGGCUACUAUAAAAGUCAGGAUAGAUAUUACUUCUGUGGGAGGAAAAAGAUUGUAAUUAGUAAGGAAAAUGUCAGGAGCAUCCGAAGGGUGGCAAACUUUUUGUUUCUUGACAUGAGUGGUGAUUAGGAUGGGCUACAUAAUUUGUGAGGCCUGUGCAAAAUAAAAAUGUAGGGCCUCUGGCUUAAAAAUUACUUAAAAAUCUCAACACAGAGACAGCAGAGGAGUAAACCAAGCAUGAGGCUCUUCUAAAUGUGGGUUCCUGUGUGACUGCAUGCCCAUGAAGUCAGCCCUGACGGUGAUUGUAUUAGUAUUCACUCUAAAAUACUUUGUUCAGCUAGAUAUUUAUAUUUUACACAUUUUCUCCAUGUUUGUUGUAUGUUACAACAAAAAAUAUUAGAAAUAAUUGAAUAAAAAGAAAUAUCGAAUAAAAAGAAUGAACUAGAACUCUAAAUGAUUACCAUGAGGUGUUCUUACUGAUUAGGAGGAGAAAAAAAGGAUAGAAAUAUAAACAAAUAAGGCCGGGAGUGGUGGCUCAUGCCUGUAAUCCCAGCACUUUGGGAGGCUGAGGUGGGUGGAUCACGAGGUCAGGAGUUCAAGACCAGCCUGGCCAAGAUGGUGAAACCCCAUCUCUACUAAAAAUAAAAAAAAUUAGCCAGGUGUGGUGGUGAGCACCUGUAAUCCCAGCUACUCAGGAGGCUGGGACAGAGAAUUGCUUGAACCCAGGAGGUGGAGGUUGCAGUGAGCUGAGAUUGUGCCACUGCACUCCAGCCUGGGAGACAGAGAGAGACUCAUCUAAAAAAUAUAUAUAUAUAUAUACACACACACAAAUAUAAAGAAAUAUGGAGAGUAGGAAUAGUCUUAACCUCUGUACAAUAGAAGACUCCAAAGGAGAGGAAAAAAUAAGCAAAGAGGUAUAAAUAUUUUAAGAAAUAAUAAUGGAGAAAUUUACAGAAUAAGAAGAAGUAGAAGCAACCUAAACAUUACAAAAUAGUAUAGUUAAAAAUAAACUUACACUUAGAUAUACUGUAAUAAAAUGUAGAAACAACUAAGAACCAAAGAAAACUCUAAAAGCUUCUGAGGGAAGGAACAGAUCACCAGUAAAGGAACAAGAAUAAAAUUAAUGUCAAACUUCUCUUUAAUGACAUGAGAUGCAAGAUCACAAUGAAGUAGCAUCUUCAAAUUGUUAGAGAAAAAAAUCCUUAGACCUUAAAAUACACCAGUAGUCUUCUAACUUUUUGAUCUAAGAACUCCUUUACACUCAUAAAAAUCAUUGAG
ensembl:lncRNA